rnacentral:rRNA from 1 species
CUACGUAGGGUGCGAGCGUUGUCCGGAAUUAUUGGGCGUAAAGAGCUUGUAGGCGGUUUGUCGCGUCUGCCGUGAAAAUUCGAGGCUCAACCUCGAACUUGCGGUGGGUACGGGCAGACUAGAGUGUGGUAGGGGAGACUGGAAUUCCUGGUGUAGCGGUGAAAUGCGCAGAUAUCAGGAGGAACACCGGUGGCGAAGGCGGGACUCUGGGCCGAUACUGACGCUGAGGAGCGAAAGCGUGGGGAGCAAACAGG